CUAGAUGUCAUUGGAUCAGUGUGUAAAAUUUUAGGAGAGAUAUGUGGAAGCCUAAAGCAACUCCAGACUAUCACGGAUGCAGGUGAGAGACACACUACCUUGAUCCUGACAAAGUCAAUGAAGAAAUAAUCGCAAGAUGAAUGCAUUUUUAGAGGACAAUGGUACAUAUAAAGAAUAAGGAAACAAUAUGAAAAGCAAGAGCUUAUGCCUGAAACUUGAAGUAUUCCUAGAUGAUGACUAAUUCUAAUACUAUUACAGAUUUACUUCUGAGAGCUUCCUUCUCCUAAUAUUGGCCAUGUUUCAUCUGCCAUAUCUGAGAUCACAUAUCUGUGGACUGGAUGACACAGACAAAACAAGGACCCAGCAUUCUCCCAUCUGUCCACAGUUCCCAGAUGAAGAACUAUGAUCACAGAGUCCCUCUCUAGUCAUUAAGGAGAAAAAGAGAUGCACAUCUGGAUAAUGGUGGUGAUAUGAGAGGAAUUGUGCUCUCUAAGUCCUGCAUCUUAUUGUUGGCCAUGCACAGAAUCUACAGUUCCUUUUAACUCCAUAGUUAAAUGUUUGAAGUUUGAUGGAUAACUUGAGGUUUUGUAGUGUUUCACUACUGUUGCUACUUAUUGUCAGCUUAUGAAACAAUUGUUUUCUAAUUACUUUGAUAGAAAUGAUAAAAAUGAAGGCUGGUAUAAAAUAUAAAGCACUAUCUCAUAGUUACUGGCUGGAAUAGUUUUUGACAUGUUUAAGUUUCCAUCUGUGUGUUUACAUAGUGUAAAACAUGAAAUGGAAAUAUGAGUGUACUAAAAAUCAUUCAAAAAAAUGAUUUACAAACUCAUCUGGGAUACAUAUGUAUGUGUGUAUAUAUACAUUUAUAUAUAUAUAUAUAUAUAUAUAUAUAUACAUAUAUAUAUAUAUAUAUAUACACACACCAGAGUUCCUGGAGUGGAAAUACUUGCUAGGUUAGGAGCUUUCAGUGGUGUUAAUUGCAGUGGUCCUGCAAUACAUCACCAUCAUUGAUGCUGAGAAAAUUCUCCCCAGGCACAGUGAGGGUCAAUAUUUGAUACUGAUACGUUUAAUUUAUACUUUCUUAGGUCACUUUUAUUUCAGUUUGAAAGUAUAAUCAAAAUUUAGGUUAGUUUUUCUAGUGCCAUGAACUGUUAGGAGGUAGAUUUAUGAAAAUGGCAGGCUUUUUAAAAUACAAAACUUGGUCAAAAGAGAUUUGUUACCUCAGAAAGCUUUUCAAGUCAUAAGUAAUUGCCCACUACCCCUCUGAAGAAGGUUUAUAGGAAAAUGUACAACCUCCUCCUUAUAUAAAUGAAAAAAGACUGAGAUAGAAAUGAAGUGAUUUCCACAGGGCCAUAAACUGCAAUUGGAAUCAAGAUUAUUACUGAGUAGUUUGUGAUUCCUGCCUGAUACCUGGGCUGUAACAGUGCUUGCAGAGUCUCCCGUGCCUGUCUGUCACUCCUGGAAUUACUGGCCCUGGGAGCUAUUUCUCCAUGAAUGAUGAUCAUAGUUUACAGCUCCAGCUUAUUCAGAAACAAGUUUUGUGGACGAGUUCCCUUUUUUUAAUCUGUCCAACAUUUCACUUCUAGAUAUAAAUUGUGAUUGAAUGAUUUAGUUCAGAUUGUUUCUAGUGGAAAUGCCACUUCUAUAAAUUGUUCCACAAAAUAUUUCCAUUUCUGUUAGCGAAAAUCAAGUGUUUUCUAGUACUUGGGGAAAAAAAUUCUUCAUUUCAAUGAGUAUUACUGCUUCAUGCAAUUGCAUGCUGUAAUACCUUUUAUUUAGCUGACUCGAAAGGUUGAGGAGAGGAUCAGGCUUUCAUUUCUUUCUGCUUCUGGUAAAGUUAAGAGUGAUACUUUCACCAAGGUUAAAGGAAAAAGCUUUUGAUCCACCUAAAUCAGGGGCCUACACCUGAAAACUUUCAAUUCACAGGAGUUCUGCUGUCAGCUGGAAAGUUAAAAUCCUGAGGUUCAUUGAUUCCUGUGACCCAUGUAAUAACCCCUUUCCUGAGAUGAUUAAGACAUGCAAAUAGUAUCUGACCCUCGUGUCUUCUUCAAGGUUUUCACACAGAGCCACUAAAAAGAUAUCAAAUAAACUGUUUUGAAAAGCUG